rnacentral:lncRNA from 1 species
CUCCCACGUUACUAAGAUAAAACACAAAGGAUAUAUCAAAAACAGGUUGUCAACAUAUAAGAAUAAUAGAUAAUUAAUAUUCUAGAUAUUUAAAAAGUCCUUGUAGAUCAAUCAUGAAACGAUAAAUAACAUCCAAAUAAAAGUGUGAAAAGGGCAUGAAUGGAUAAAUCUUAAAUAAAACAUAUGUAUGACCAAUAGUCACAUAUAAAGUUGUAGUAGAAAGCAGUAAUAGGGGCCGGUCCUGUGGCCAAGUGGUUAAAUUCGUGUGCUCCGCUUUGGUGGCCCAGGGUUUUGCCGGUUCGAAUCCUGGGCGCGGACAUGGCACUGCUCAUCAAACCAUGCUGAGGCGGCAUCCCACAUGCCACAACUAGAAGGACCCACAGCUAAAAAAGUAUACAAGUAUGUACCGGGGGCUUUGGGGAGACAAAGGAAAAAUAAAAUCUUAAAAAAAAAAAAAAAAAGAAAGUAGUAAUAAAAUAAAUGCAAAUUACACAACAAUGACAUCAGGUUUUUACCUUUUGGGCAGAUGGAGAGGAAUAAAACUAACUCUGAAAAGUCUGAAAAAGGUAAAGGAAGACUGAUUGUCUCAUAGAGUGUUGGGAGACGUAAAUUGGCACAUUUCUAAAGGGCGUUUGACGAUAUGAGUCAAAAUGAAAUAUGUAUACCCUUUAACACAGCAAUCACACUUCUUGGUAUUUACCUUAAGAAAACAAACAAACAAAUGCAACAAGAUCAGUUCAUCACAGUGUUGAUAUAAAAGCAAAUUCACACACAUGCACUCACGCCUAAUAGGAAGCAGCCUAAAUGGCCAUCAGUAGGGAACUGGUUAAGACAUAACACAUCACACAGAGAACACUCUAGAGCCAUUUAACUGAUAAUGAUGUAAAAUUGUGACGUUUGGUAUAUUUAAUGACAUUCUGUGCAUAAAGUAUUGAAAGUGAACGAAACCACGAUACCAAACUGUACAAACAGUUAAAAUGUACUUUUAUAAUAUGUAAAUGUUCGGAUGAUUUAAAAAGAGGUAAUAAGCAUAUAUACAAAUGUCUUAGCUGGGAUUAUGUCUGAGUAGGUAGAGGGAUUAUGGGUGAUUUCAUACUUUUCCAUAUUUUCUAAAAGUUUUCUUUUCUUUUUUAAAUAAUAGACAUGUAAUUAACUGUCCCCUUCUCCUCAAAAAAUAACCAUUUGAAAGGCAAAGUCAGUUGGAGCCAAGUCUGUUAAAUAAUGUAGGAAUCAAGAUGGAAGGCUUUUUUAUUUAGAAGUCCACUAAGGCUGCACUUCACAUUUUCCCACAAACUUUUUGGCCCAUUUUGUUUCUUCUGUUAAAAAUUCUCUUUCCAAGCUGACUGCCUCCUGUAAUUCCAAUCCUCUUCACCUAUUAAAGUCCCACCCAGCCCUCGAGGAUUCGCUAAGUCCCUGCAGUCCUCUCCUGGUCCUUGCAGCUGGAUCUGCUUGCUCCUCCCUCAGCUCUGCCACAGCUCCAUGGACACAGCUCUGGCACAGUCCACACCCGCAGCUGAGCGUCAUGGUUUCUUGGGAACGUCUUGUUCCAUUCCUUUCCCUUCACAGGGAAAACAAGGUGGAGUUUUGCAAGCUGGGAUGCCCCACCUGAGAGGCGGGAAGGCAUCCUGUUGGAGGGGGGUCAAGGUUCAGAACUGUACAGAUCCAAAUGCAGGAAUUGGGGAGGAGACCAAAUCUGGCUGGGUGGACUUAGACCGGAACCAGAGACACCUGUCCUAUCUGGAUCAUGUUUGUAAGGACUCUUUGUUUUAGCUGAUAGAAAACCAGCUCCAACUAGCUUAAGCAAAAACAGGACUUUAUUAUAAAUUAGUUGAGUAUAACGAGCAAUUCAAAACCUGGCAAGUGUCUGGGUUUCAGGAGCAACUGGAUCCAGGGGUUCAAAACCCUUUCGAUAACUCCUUACAUCCCAUAUCUCAUCUUUGUUUCUUUCUUCUUUUCUUUCCGCAGGAUGAAGCCCUCUCUUUCUCUGAUUCACAUGAUGAGGAACAAGACCAUAAAAAGUCCUAAUUUUUACAUCUGAGAAAUAGGCAGCCACAGAAAGCCUGGCUCCUUUGUAUCUGUCUAGACUCAAAACUCCCAUGGAAGGGCUCAGAUAAGUCUGAGGGUCAGGGGCUUGCCUCUGAACCAAUCAGCUGUUGCUAGGCAAUGGGUUCUAUGAUUGAUCAGGCUUGUGUAGGUGGCUAGCCCUGGACCAUCAACACUGAUCAGGGGGAAGGGGUCACUUCUAUGAUGGCUUCCAUGGUAACCAUAUAGAUGACAAGAGGGAUAGAUAUUAGAAAAGAAGUGCUUCAUAGGUAUUCCCUGAAGAACACAUAGGAUCCAAAAGGGAUGGAGGCGAGAAGAGCUUGAGGGUUUGCCUAGAAAACCACUUUACCAUUUGAAGAUUAUUUCUAUGAGCCAGCAGGAGUGCCAUGUUUGCGUGGAUUGGACACCUGCUUUAUUUUUUCCUUCUAAUUAUGAAUGCUUGUCGUUGUUGUUGCUUAUGUCCCAGUGCUUGUCAUAGCCCUUUACACUUAAUAAGUGGUCAAUCAAGGUUUGUUGUAAUUUUGAUCUGAAUGUUCUCAGUGGGGCUUUUGCAUACUGGAUCUACAGACCUUCAAGAAAAGAGUCCUGGAAGCAUUUUUGACAUAAAGAAAUAAAUCCACAGCCUCCCUCUCCAGGUGACUGCUUUGAUGACAGCACUCAUUUGGAAGUGGAAAUCUUGGGAACCAGCGGACUUAUGGGUUGUUGUGGUGGCAGGGGCCAACAGGGUCCAUCCUUCAACGAUUCUCACCGACAAACCACAAGAAUCCAAACACAUUUGAAACAUCUGGUGGCAAAGGUUUCAGAUAAGGGAUUGCAGACCAAUCCUCUAGUUGUUUCCUGACCAUGAACAUGAGCUCCUCAAGGGCUCUGGCUGCCGCUUGGAGACGCUUCUUCUAAGCUGCAUCCUCAUCUUCACUUUCAUCUUCAUCAAGCAUCGCGUGAUCGCUUCCUAAGAGGGAUCCAGAAGACCGUCUGAGGCUCACUGAAUGCAGUUCCCCUCUUAGAAGAGGAGGAGACUGAGGUUCAGGGACAUUCCAUUACUCAUUUUUUGCAAUCAUCAGCUAGCAAGUAACUGAACUGGAAGUCAAAGCUACAUCUGCUUAAUUACAAGGCCGUGCUCAUAAGCAUGGCAUCCUACUGCCUUCCCACUUCCACAACCCCACAGUGCAGGGGUGGGCUCCCAUUCCUGUCUUAUUAGCAUGAUGACGUUGCCAUCAUCCAUCUGUCCCCUCACUCACAGACAAUCCGAGGCCCAUGAGGUCCCUACAGUAGAGCUCCUGGUGACUCAUCUUCAGCUUGAAUCAGCUUCAAGUGUCUGCCUUCUUUCCACGCCUGAGACUGCUGGGCACUGUUGAGCUGUCACCUGGCUUGGAAGAUCCACCAAAUCAAGACUGAAACCAAUUAGCAUGGGAAACCUGCCAACUCAUCCUCCACACCCCCAGCAGACAGCCUAAUUUCCUUGCUGAUGACAACUCCUCGCUGGCAAUGAUCUUGCCCCUGCCAGGGGGAUUUUCCAGGAGAAUCACAUGUUUCUCUUCAAUGGCUGCAAAAAGUCAAUUAAUGAGCUAAAAAGGCAGAAAUGAAGGAGGUGGAAGGGAGAUGAGCAUUGAGAGCCAGAGACUGUAGCCAACGAUUAGAGAGAAGGGCCAUUCAGUUAAGCCAGACUAUGAGUCCCGUGAGAAGGGACGCCUUGGCUGAAGGAUAGUGGGAGAGACCACACUGGCCCCUGAUCUCUGAAAUCAUCACCGUCCACACGAGCAUUGAAAGAGCAUUGGACCUCGGUUUAAAUCCCUGAAUAAUACUGAUUUAUGGUGCUUUUUGGAGCAAAUCUUUCUCUCUUCUGGGUUGUACAGCAUGGAGGUUAAAAGUGCAGAGUUGAACUGCUUAAAUUUUGAAUCUAGUCUCCACCACUUACCAACCGAUUUUGAGCACAUAAUCUCUCUAAAACUUGCACACUAUUUAAUCUCUCCAAGACUUAGUUUUCUCACUGUAGAAUGGGAUAACAACAAUAUUCAUCUCACAGGGAUUAAGGGAAAUAAUGCUUGUAGGGUACCAAGCAGAGUGGCUGGCACAUGGUAAGCAUUCUCUAACUUAGGAUGUUUUUGGUGGCAAGUAAUUGAACCUCCAGCUCAGAGUGGCUUAAAAAAGGAAGUGUAAUAGCUCAUGUAACCAGAAGUUCAAGGAAAGGAUAUCUUCAGAGUUGGUUAAGUUACUUCUUCAGUGAUGUCCUCAAGAAUCUGGUUCUUUCCAUAUUUCUGUUUUGCGAUCCUGAGUGUUGCCUCCACUCUUAGAUGGGUAAUAGGAUGGCUGCCAUCUAGAUGUGUCAGUGUCUUGGGGAAGAAGAAGGAUGUCUCUCCUAUGACUCUGUUCGAAGCAAAAAACCUUUUUGUUUAAAAAUCCUGCAAGCCAACUUCUGUUUAUGUCUCAUUGGCCAGAGUUGGGUCACAAGCCUGUUCUUGCCAAUCACUGGUAAGAAGCAUUUAGCCAGUGGAAUCGCCCUGGAGUUGAGGGGUGCAGUCAGCUUCACCUGAGGCUGCGUGGAAACAAGUGGGACGCCUGAAUAAAACUGAGCUUCUGUUAGGAAAGAAGAAGGGAGAUAUGGAUGUUGGGUGGGCAUCUGCCUAAAGUCUCUACCAUCAAUAAAUUCCACUGUUAUUAUUUUUAUUAUUACGGUUUUUAUCAUCAGUUUCUUCUUUGGACCGCUUGUUCUCCCAGUCUUUUUCCUGUUCCGAGAAUCAUGACUCUGAUCUUACUCAGCAUUCUCAGUGUCUGCUGGGCUAAGUUUGGUCCCUGCCUCUUCUGAUAAGAGGGCAACUGGAAUGUAUCAUUUCUGCUUCCAAUUUUCCUUCUCCUCUCAGAAACACCUCAAGCCAACAGUCCAGGUGUACAGAGAUACCAAGAACAAGCCAAAGGACAUGGAAUUCAUGUGAGCAUCAGUAACUCGCAACAGUGAGUUAUGUAUCUGAGCUGAUGAUACAGUUGAUUAUGUGCCAAAUCAUCUGCCUUUUUCUACUUCAGGAACAUGCUUUGGAAUCCUUCCUCUGCCCAGGAUGGCAAGCCCACCUCAGAUAGUGUCCUGGAUUCAAGGGCCAUACAUUUGAACUUUUCUAGCUCAUUUGGAGAUAGCUUCUCUGUGUUUUGUGAUCGUAGAUCGUGUGGCUAAUGCUUUUUUUUUUUUUUUUUAAAGAAGGACCAGUGUAGAUAGCUUGGUGAAAAACCGUUCUCAUUUUGGAGAAACAACCCCAAACAUAAUGACUUGCCCUUCAGGGUUGGGAAAAUAUUCCUCAGUUACAUGAGACAACCAAGUGUUUUUAGCUAUCCCACCCCAGAGCAUAGAUUAGUUUCACACGCAUAAUUGAAUUGUUUUUUUCUUUUUAAUUUGUUCUUGGCUUUUGGCCACAAUGAAGGCUGCUUGUUGAGCAGAUGGCACCGUCCAUGUCUCCUGUCUGUUACAAAUGGUCAGUUCAAUCAACCAUCAGCAACCCCUUAUGGGCUGGUCAAUUGGCCUGAGUCAACUAGAAAGUAAUGUGUUUGGUUCUGAGGGUAGACAUGGGUCUAUUGCCUCAUAGUUUGGAUGACAUUUUUUCCUCAAGGGUCAGGUCAGAUCCUGCUCUCUGCUGUCAUAAACUCCCAAGCAAAUGGCAAAAAUUCAGUACCAUUUGGGAGUGCUCUCAAUGAUCAGCCAGGAAGUCUCCAGAAUCUGGCAGAGUGAAUUACGGUUCAUUGAGUAAGACGUUUAUCACCCUCUUCUUAGAAAUAAAUUCCCUUUGCUUCAUCAGAGAAUCAUGAACCCUUAGAGCUAGAAGUGACUUUGGAGGUUAUAUGUUUAAAUGUUUUUGUAGCAAAGUCCAUGGGGUGGGCCUAAUUUUUGUCUGCUGCAGGGACUCUGAUGAAGAAAUUCUGCUUACAUGAAGUCCCCAUAGGCCUUCUGGGAGAGCCAGGGAGAGAAUAUGUUGGAGCUGAUGGUUCGCUCUAGGCUAAAAUUGUUGAAAGUAGGGAACAAGAGUGCCCCUUCGCUCUUGAAUUGAAUCAACUCUAAGUUUGAGUCCAGUUCUUGGAUGGCCUGUCAAAGAAGGGGGGUAAUUUGGGAUGCUACAUUUUUUGCAUCUUUCCCUGUAUCCCUGUCCCAAAGAAACCUCUCCCAAGUUCCCAGAAGAGAAGGUAUGGCAAGAAAUUUGAUAUGUGAGUCAAAUAAAAGAAUCAUAACACCAGACUGCAAGAUACUGAGAAUGCAAGGAAACUCUGCUUGGAAAUCUGAUAAGAGUUUGAUCUGAAGAUUCUUGGAGUGGUGGAGGCAUGACAAGAACCAGGUCAGAUUGGGAGAGGGGAGAAGGAGCAAGGGCUGCUUGUGAGCUAGAGAGCCUGUGACUGCUUGAGCAAUCCGAGACUUGGCUCAAGGGGAGCAGUAAAUAUGGUGGCCCAGAGAACCUGGAACCAGCAAUUGCACAAGAAAACUUCAGUGGUCACUAAGGAGGUGGUCAUGUGAACUGAGCUCAUCUAUCUGUCUCCCUCUGCCAGGACCUCACAUCUUGCGAAUAUUGGUUGACCUUCAUUCAUUUCAGCCAUGGUGCCUUGAC